rnacentral:rRNA from 1 species
ACAAUGUAUAGGAGGUCUUGCCUGCCCAGUGACUACAAGUUAAACGGCCGCGGUAUUUUGACCGUGCAAAGGUAGCGCAAUCACUUGUCUUUUAAAUGAAGACCUGUAUGAAUGGUGGAACGAGGGCUUAACUGUCUCCCCCUUCAAGUCAAUGAAAUUGAUCUCCCCGUGCAGAAGCGGGCAUAACAAUACAAGACGAGAAGACCCUUUGGAGCUUAAGAUGCAAGAUCAACUAUGUCAAGGUCUUCGGUUGGGGCGACCACGGGAGACAACAAAGCUCCCACGCGGACUGGGGAAAAAACUAAGAGAGACAUCUCUAAGUCGCAGAAUAUCUGACCAACCUGCCGAUCAACGGACCAAGUUACCCUAGGGAUAACAGCGCAAUCCCCUUCCAGAGUCCAUAUCGACAAGGGGGUUUACGACCUCGAUGUUGGAUCAGGACAUCCUAAUGGUGCAGCCGCUAUUA